AGUCUUGCUCUGUUGCCCAGCCUGGAGUGCAGUGGCACAAUCUCGGCUCACUGCAACUUCUACCUCCUGGUUUCAAGCAAUUCUCCUGCCUCAGCCUCCUGAGUAGCUGGGAUUACAGGCACCCACCAUCAUGCCCAGCUAAUCUUUGUAUUUUUGUAGAGACAGGGUUUCACCAUGUUGGCCAGGCUGGUCUUGAACUCCUGACCUUAGGUGAUCCCCCCACCUUGGCCUCCCAAAGUGCUGGGAUUACAGGCGUGAGCCAUUGUGCCUGGCCUGACGCAGCAUAUUUUUAAAGACAGGAUGUACAUGUAAUUUGGAGAGAGAUGGCCGAUUCCAAAAUAUUGCAGGUACGAUGGCAUCCUCCAAUGAUAAAUACUUCCCAAAUGGUCCUGUGAGCACUCCCAACUUCCUCCUCUGGCCAGUAGCCUUUCAAGCCAAGACCUCAAACCAGCAGGAUUUUAUUUUAACUGUAAGGAGAGGACAAAGGCCAUGGAACGAUGCCAUCCAGGCUGCCCUUGGCCGGCCUCACUGCCCCUAUCUGCAGGAGGCUCAGGAAGGUUUCCAAAUGCCCAGAGUAGUGUGGCUCGGGUGCUUCUCGGAGUCAUUCUCACCCCACUCACCGGAAGUGGGAAGGACAGGAGAACUGUCAGUCAGGUCGGCCAUGGAGGUCAAAGGCAGCUCUGUUGAGAAUGUGCGGAUGUUUGUCCUUCCAGAUGGUCCAGACAAGGGAUGGCACAGAUUUCAUUCCCGCAUUGUCUUUUGACCGCAGGUGCUACCCCGAGCACUGUCUGGGGAGGAUUUCAAGGCUGUGCCCAGGCCACCCCUGAUGGAUGUAUCAGUCACUUCAGCCGUGGUGCCGGCAGGGAGCCCAAGCGCAGGAGCAUCCUCUGUCGUCCUCGCAGCCGGGACCCUCUCAUUUCCUGUCUGCACAGCAGCCCCGGCGUGUUCCUCUGUGAAAGCCAGGAGCACGGGGGCGACACCUUCUGGGCCUGCCACUGUUCCUUCAGAAGUGACCUUUGACCUCCCCAUCAGCCUGUGCUGCUAGGUCUGGGGUCAUUUUCUGCUCAGAUAUCUCCUCUCCCUGACGAUCGAUUCCCCCUGGAGGGGUGAGCCACUGUCGGGAGGGGAGACGGAGCUGAGCAUGCAAGGAAGGGCAACCCCAGCCCAGAUCCUGGAGGGCUUUGGGCUUCCAGGUAGAAGCCGGUCUUCACGUCAGCAAACCAAGAAAAUGCCUCCCUGAAAUGGUCUCCAGGUCCCCCCAAACACCUGCCUCCCCCUCCAGCCUUCUCCACUGAUGCCUGCAGCUGCAUAAGUAGUGUUUCAUUCCACCCCAGCAGGAGCUGGUACCGGUUCUUCCCUUGCCUCAUGCUGGGGUAGAUUUUAUUUAGGGUUGGGAGCAGGGAAAGGAGCUAGAGAAAGGAAGGGUUCCAGGAAGCUGGGAAGGGAGAUGUCAGGUGGGGUGAUGUGAAAGGAGGCCAAGGACCACCUUUGCCUGUAUGGUGGGCUGAACUGUGUCCCCACAAAAGAUAGGGCGUCCUAACCCCAGAUACCUGUGAAUGUGACCUUAUUUGGGAAUAGAGUUUUUGCAAAUGGAAUCAAGUCAUGAUGACGUCAUUAGCAUGAGCCUUAAUUUAAUAGGAUUGAUGUCCUUCUAAGAAGAGAAGACGGGGACACACAGGAGAAAGCCAUGUGAUGAAGCAGGCAGGAGCUGGAGCGACACUACCACAGGCCAAGGAACAUCGGGACCAGAAGAGGCGAGGAGGGGCCGUUCCCUAGAGGCUUUGGAGAGAGCAUGGCUCAUCAACACCUUCACUUCAGACUGGUAGCCCCCAAACGCUUCAAAAGUCACUGGAUUUUUCAAUGAGAAGGAGAAGUUAGGCAGCUACCAAAUAGCUGAAAGAAUAUUAAAUCUGAUGGAUCCAGCCAAAUAAAAAUGUUCAUUCAUAGGAUCUGUGGUUGUUGAGGAAUCUUCUAAGUUUCAUAAAUGGCAAAAACUCUUUCUCAGACUUACAGAUCAGACCUCACAUAUGCAUGAGAAGAGAAGCUAUUUUUGUCUCUGGGUUCCAGUUACACAGCCACAGCCUGGAAGCUUUGUUCUCAGAAUUCAUGCUGUCAUCAAAAGGACUCAAUACAAACACUGCAGCCAGCCUGCCAUGGCUUAGCUGUGACCGCAGCUGCAAACUCUUCUGUCAUGUGAAAACUUUUGGCUUUUUCCGGGUGUGGAAUGCCUGUUGGUCCCAGCUCCGCCUGCCUUUCCUCCUUCUGGAAUCGUGUCCAUCCUUUCAGUCAACUCAGUUUGUCCGCAUCUUCCAGGCCUCAUACCUCCGCCUGAUCUGCAUGGCAGUGGUGGGCUUGCUCUUUGUGCUAUUACACUGACUGUGAUCGUGUUUAGCGAGUCAGCUUCUACAAAGUCGACCUGCACCUGUGUGAUGUCUCUCCCUAGCUGGAUGCAGCUUCUCCAUGGGCUAAGUUCAUCAUGUUAACAGUGCCUGCCCCACAGGCCCUCAGGGGAUCUUAGUGGGUGGUCUAUGGAGAGACUUUGGCGGGUAUAUGAAUCCCCAAAAUUGUAGGCAAAGUUUGUGUAUGCUGUGGCCUAUUGACAGCGGGGACUCUGCCGCUGCUUUCUCCUAAGAAGCCUCCUGGGGAUUUGAGUGAAUUAUGGUGGUCUCCUUCCCUCUGAAGUGAUUAGUUUUGGCUUUGGCUCAACAUGGUGCAGACCCAUGGGAUCCAAAGGGAAGUUGGCCGGGCAUUUCUGGGAAGGAUGUCUCUUCUUCUGAUUUCUGAAUGAGGGUAGGAAGCCCUCUUCUUCAUCAGACGCCAUGGCUCUUACACGAAUGAUGCCUAGAGCAGACACAGCCCUUCCAGGACCAGAGGCCGAGGCUGACAAUGGGACAAGAGGGCAGAGGAAGAAGUGGGGAGCACCUAAGCCUUCCUCUGACCAAGCACUGUCCUAACCAAUUCUGAUUGGUUCACUUCUAGUUACAUGAUAUAAUAAACGUCCUAUUUCUUAAGGCACUUUUAACAUGAGUGCAGCAUUUUAGAGUUUCAUCAGGUGAUCCACUGGAUCUGAGUCUCUGCUCAGGCUUAAGGAUGCCCAUAAAGGUGCCCAAUUAAAUGUUGAUUGGUUGAUUGGCACACAGAGAAUCGCUGGAGGUGCCGCUGAGUCAUCCAGGUGCUAAGGGAGCUUGCCAGGCCUGUCUGGAGGAGGGUGGCCAACUGGAGUGUGUUGUUCUCUCACUCGAGUCCACUGCCCAGUGCUGCCAGGUGUGGGAGAGCAACUCAGAGAGGGCUGGAUGUUAGACCAGGCAAGGUCUUGAGAGUGUCACGCUCAGGGAGAUGCCCAAGAGGGGACCAGCUGGCUGUUUGUGUGGGUGUUUCUUCACUGGGUAAACAGGAGAGAGUCCUCCUUAUCAAGGGCCUGUAGAGUAGAUGGACUUAAGCUUUUGCACCCACUCUGGCUGAGCUGUAGUGUUAAGAAGGAUUCUGAAGCUGUGUCCAUAUUUAGCUGGAAACUGUGCCGUGAUUAUUAGUUAAGUGUCCCAUGGAUACAAAUGGAAAGAAUCGAGGCAUUCACGCCAGUGAUUCAUCCCCCCUGUCUAGGGUCUGGUUCUCGGCUUUUUAGAUCAGGAGACUCAGGGAGCCCCUUCAAAGUAGAUACCCACUUCAAAAGUGGGUUCAUCUAUCUCCUGGAAAAUGCCCCACUCCCUUUGAUAGACUGUUCUGCUCAAAAACAUCUUCUGACUGAGCACAGUGGCUCACGCCUUUAAUUCCAGAACUUUGGGAGGUUGAGAUGGGCAGAUCCCUUGAGCCCAGAAGUUUGAGACCAGCCUGGGCAAUAUGGUGAGACCCCGUCACUACAAAAAAAUAAAAACAAUUAGCCAGGUAUGGUGAUACAAGCCUGUAGUCCCAGCUACUUGGGAGGCUGAGGUGGGAGGAUCAGCUGGCCCCAGAGGUCAAGGCUGCAGUGAGCUGAGAUCAUGCCACUUGCACUCCAGCCUGGGUGACAGAGUGAGGUUUUGUCUAAAAAAUUAAAUGAAUAAAUAAAUAAAUAGGUCUCUGAGGCUGAGGACAGGCAUCCUCCGGGGAUGGGUGGCGCUGUCUGAAGCUGUCUUCCUCUGUCAACUAACAAGCUGGCACCAGAAAUACCAGCUGGUCUCCUGGGCACUCGGUGGACCCUCAGCUCUUCCUCGGAUGGUGGUGGGCAGUCUCGGACACAUCUCCUUUUUUGGAUCCCGUGAGGAAGAGUGUGACCUUUCUGCUUGGCACUUGGCUCAUCAGCCUGAUGCGCGCAUAGCGUGGUAGAGGGCCAGGUGCACAGACGUGGUGCUGUGACCCUGGGGAACGCUGUCUCGGGGCCCACGUCUCCCAUGCAGAAUGAAGGGCCCCCUGCAGAUCUGCUCCACGUGCCGUGCAGUUGCUGGUUCUGAUUAGGGAAUGGUUUCCUUUAGUCCCUCCGGGUCUAGGAAUGCUCUCUGCCCACCUGGACACUGUUGGGUGAGCACAGGAUAAACAUCACGAAAUGAAGAGUGCCAUCUGCAGAGCCAAGAAGCAGAGGCUUGCUUGGAGAAGGACAGGACUGGGCCUAGAAGGGUUUGGCGGGUGGCUCUGCCUGGCCAUUUGGGGACAGGAAAGGAGAGGGAACCCCAAGUAACGGGAGCGGCCUGAACAAAGGCCGGGACAGGAUGUAGGGCUUGCUUGGGGCCUGGUGACUGAGGCCCCAUUUGCCUGGCCGAGGGUCUGUGUUCUACUCAGGGGUGAGAAGUAGGGAAGGGUUGCAGGAGGUUAAGGACUUGAGGAAAAUGAGACUUUAGGAAGACUCCUGUGGCUGCUGCGGGUGGGAGGGAGAGGAGGGGCUCCAGAGAGGCAGAGAACUGUCCAGGAGGGGGUGAGUCUCGGGCUGAGGGUGCUGGCUCCAUGCUGGGGGUUCAUACCAGAGGCCGCCAGGAGCUCAGGUGAGGGCUGCUGAGGAACUCCCUUUCCUUGGCCAGGCCUCCCUCCCCUCCUUUCCCUUCCCAGGUGUGCUGACGACUCGGUGGGCUCAGGUGGUGCUGGCCUCCCGUGCUCAGGGACUGAGAGCUGGUUGCUCCUUCCUACACAGCCCCUCUUUGAGAGACUGCAAACCUCCCCCCAGGCAGGCAGAGCUGGGGGACGGGGAGUCAGCCACCGAUGUGCUUGAAGCAAAGCAGAUGGUGCUCUUGGCCCAAUGGAGGUGGCCGAAGGACAUGACCUUCCCCCCGGCCUUUCUUUUGGGAAAGGAAGUCUUUGGUAGUUUGUAGCAACUGAAUAAAUCUUGUCAUUUUGAUAA